GUUACGACCCCCUCUGCUAGGCGUCAGGGGAGGAGUAACAUACACAAGCCCCAAACACAAAACUGAGUAAAGAAAGGUUUUAAUUUCAAACUUUAAACAGAAAACCGACAGGGCUGUUCAACAGACCUCUGGGCAAACAAUUACUAUAUAAAGACAAAAAAAAGAAGACAAGAGUAAAAGCCAAAGGUUAACUAAGGCAAGCUGGCGGCACACAAAAUAAAAGCUAAGGGAAAACUAAGGCGAGCCAGCAUCACAAUUUCUACUCACAGCCAGCUAGCAGCGCAAAGCUCUAAUCAGGCUAAGUUCAAGCAUGCAUCAUGGUUUGACAAAGAAACAAGUUCAACAAAGAUUGAAGAGGGAGGCACGAAGGGCAAACUGCAUGUUCAGUCCUAAGCAGCAGCCACUGAGUGAAGGACCUCCAGCCUUUUGUAUUCCCCGGUAAAUGCAGGCAGCCGUGUCAUUGGUCCAUCGUGUUCAAGGCUCCUGCAGCAGCCAAUGGUGUGAGUGGUCUGGCACACUCUGAUCUGCAUGAAGUUGAGGCGGGCACAGAUCCGGGGCCAGCCAAUCCCCCGUGAGUCCUGGAACACUGAUUUCCAUGGAGGAAGGCCGACACACUUACUUAGUUUUGACAAAGCACGCUGCUUAGGUAAAUGAUAUGAGUACUUGUUUAUCACUGAGCAAUUUGUUAAUAUGUGUUUCGAGCCAAAUAAAUGACAGGGAGCGAGAGAGAGAGAGAGAGCGUUACGUUAGAACACGUCGUAAUAUGGCAACCUCCCGAAAGGGAAGGGGGGGGAGGGGUCAAUCGUUGGGAUGCGCAUGCGCAGGCAGAUUGCGCGACCGCCAGGCAUUGAACUUUCUAAGGGAAAAAACACUUUCUCACGGACGGUGACAGCGAAACGGAUAACAGUCUUCAGUACCUGCUGGUCUUUGAAGCUCUGGAUUCUGGGACUGUUGGAAAAGCUCCAACAAAAUGAGGAAGAGGAGGGAGAAACAAUUAGAUUGAAUUACAAUUGGAUGGAAGUCGAGGACAAGGAGAAGGAAGCUUAGGAUGAGGAGGAAGAAAAGCA